AUGCACGCUGGCGGCAUGCCUAACACCUGCAAGUCGCUCGGUAAGGCUCUUCGGAGUACACGAGAGGCGGACGGCUGAGUAACGCGUAGGAACACACCCUGCAGUGAGGGAUAAGACACCGAAAGGUGUUCUAAUACCGCAUACGGUCUUCGGAUUAAAGCAUUUAUGCGCUGAAGGAGUGGCCUGCGUCAUAUUAGAUAGUUGGUGAGGUAAUGGCUCACCAAGUCGAUGAUGUGUAGCUGGUCUGAGAGGAUGAUCAGCCAGACUGGAACUGAGACACGGUCCAGACUCCUACGGGAGGCAGCAGUGAGGAAUAUUUCACAAUGAGCGAAAGCUUGAUGGAGCAAUGCCGCGUGCAGGAUGAAGGCCCUCGGGUUGUAUACUGCUUUUAUAAGAGAAGAUUAUGACGGUAACUUAUGAAUAAGGGACGGCUAACUACGUG
rnacentral:rRNA from 1 species